rnacentral:rRNA from 1 species
AUUGAACGCUGGCGGCAGGCCUAACACAUGCAAGUCGAACGAGUGGCGGACGGGUGAGUAAUGUCUGGGAAACUGCCCGAUGGAGGGGGAUAACUACUGGAAACGGUAGCUAAUACCGCAUACCAUCGGAUGUGCCCAGAUGGGAUUAGCUAGUAGGUGGGGUAACGGCUCACCUAGGCGACGAUCCCUAGCUGGUCUGAGCGGAUGACCAUCCAUAAUGGAACUGAGACACGGUCCAGACUCCUACUGGAGGCAGCAGGGGGGAAUAUUGCACAAUGGGCGCAAACCUGAAGCAGCCCUGCCGCGUGUAUGAAGAAGGCCUUCGGUGUGUAAAGUACUUUCAGCGAGGAGGAGUUACUCGCAGAAGAAGCACCGGCUAAAUCCGUGCCAGCAGCCGCGGUAAUAC